rnacentral:rRNA from 1 species
GAUGAACGCUAGCGGCAGGCCUAACACAUGCAAGUCGAGGGGCAGCACAGAAACAGCAAUGUUUUGGUGGCGACCGGCGGACGGGUGUGUAACGCGUAUACAACCUUCCCUAAACAGGGGGAUAAUCUGGAGAAAUUCGGUCUAAUACCCCAUAACAUCAGAGCAGGCAGCUGUUUUGGUUAAUAUUUCCUGAGGUUAAGGAUGGGUAUGCGUAGCAUUAGCUAGUUGGUGAGGUAACGGCUCACCAAGGCGAGGAUGCUUAGGGGGACUGAGAGGUUAACCCCCCACACUGGUACUGAGACACGGACCAGACUCCUACGGGAGGCAGCAGUGAGGAAUAUUGGGCAAUGGGCGGAAGCCUGAACCAGCCAUGCCGCGUGCAGGAUGACGGCUCUAUGAGUUGUAAACUGCUUUUGUACGAGGGUAAAGUGGGCUACGUGUAGCCUUUUGAAAGUAUCGUACGAAUAAGGAUCGGCUAACUCCGUGCCAGCCGCCGCCGUAA